UACGUAGGGUGCGAGCGUUAAUCGGAAUUACUGGGCGUAAAGCGUGCGCAGGCGGUUUUAUAAGCCAGAUGUGAAAGCCCCGGGCUCAACCUGGGAAUGGCAUUUGGGACUGUAAGGCUGGAGUAUGGCAGAGGAGACUAGAAUUCCUGGUGUAGCAGUGAAAUGCGUAGAUAUCAGGAGGAAUACCGAUGGCGAAGGCAGGUCUCUGGGCUAUAACUGACGCUCAUGCACGAAAGCGUGGGGAGCAAACAGG
rnacentral:rRNA from 1 species